rnacentral:rRNA from 1 species
AGAGUUUGAUCAUGGCUCAGAACGAACGCUGGCGGCAGGCUUAACACAUGCAAGUCGAACGGGCGUCGCAAGACGUCAGUGGCAGACGGGUGAGUAACGCGUGGGAACAUACCCUCCGGUUCGGAAUAACUCAGGGAAACUUGAGCUAAUACCGGAUACGGCUGAGAGGCGAAAGAUUGAUCGCCGGAGGAUUGGCCCGCGUCCGAUUAGCUUGUUGGCGGGGUAACGGCCCACCAAGGCGACGAUCGGUAGCUGGUCUGAGAGGAUGAUCAGCCACAUUGGGACUGAGACACGGCCCAAACUCCUACGGGAGGCAGCAGUGGGGAAUAUUGGACAAUGGGCGCAAGCCUGAUCCAGCCAUGCCGCGUGAGUGAUGACGGCCUUAGGGUUGUAAAGCUCUUUCGCUCGGGACGAUAAUGACGGUACCGAGAGAAGAAGCCCCGGCUAACUUCGUGCCAGCAGCCGCGGUAAUACGAAGGGGGCUAGCGUUGUUCGGAAUUACUGGGCGUAAAGCGCGUGUAGGCGGGUCUUUAAGUCAGGGGUGAAAUGCCAAGGCUCAACCUUGGAACUGCCUUUGAUACUGGAGAUCUGGAGUCCGGGAGAGGUGAGUGGAACUGCGAGUGUAGAGGUGAAAUUCGUAGAUAUUCGCAAGAACACCAGUGGCGAAAGCGGCUCACUGGCCCGGAACUGACGCUGAGACGCGAAAGCGUGGGGAGCAAACAGGAUUAGAUACCCUGGUAGUCCACGCUGUAAACGAUGGAUGCUAGCCGUUGGGGAGCUUGCUCUUCAGUGGCGCCGCUAACGCAUUAAGCAUCCCGCCUGGGGAGUACGGUCGCAGAUUAAACUCAAAGGAAUUGACGGGGCCGCACAAGCGUGGGAGCAUGUGUUUAAUUCGAAGCACGCGCAGAACCUUACCAGCUUUUGACAUGU